rnacentral:lncRNA from 1 species
AAAAAUAAACAUGAACAAAAAUCCACAAAUAUAGGAAAAGAAAAAAGAAAAAAACAGUGGUGAUGCCAUGGAAGAAUAUAUAAGAUGAAAAAAAAGGUGGCGCAAUGGGAGAAAAGAAAAAGAAAAGGAGUCCGACGGGCCUAAACUUGUGUAUGAGAUGGUAUAUUUCUUCAUCCUUUUUUUUAGGAAUUCCUUCAUCCAUUAUGGACGUACCAUGCUGUGAAAUGGGCAAUUAUGCUACCUGGGCAGAGAACACAGCUUCUAGGCCGAACAUGCAGCGGAUUAGCUACUUGGGCCCUGGGCCUUGUCAUAUAUGAAAAUUGACGCCAUGGACCAUGGCCAGUUUCUGGUCAGAAGAAAAUCUAUUGCAAAAAGUCUACAUACCCCCAAACUAUU